CCCCUAAGAAGGGAGGCGAGGAAGCGGGCCUUCGCCCCGCUCCGGCCCGUGGGGCUAGGGUUGAGGGUUCGCGUUAGCGUUCGUUUCGUCUCCCCCGCGGCGUGCGC
rnacentral:ribozyme from 1 species